rnacentral:rRNA from 1 species
UACAGAGGUCUCAAGCGUUGUUCGGAUUCAUUGGGCGUAAAGGGCGCGUAGGCGGCGGGGUAAGUCGGGUGUGAAAUCUCAGAGCUCAACUCUGAAACUGCACUCGAUACUGCUCUGCUUGAGGACUGGAGAGGAGACUGGAAUUCACGGUGUAGCAGUGAAAUGCGUAGAUAUCGUGAGGAACACCAGUGGCGAAGGCGGAGACCUGGGCCAAUACUGACGCUGAGGUGCGAAAGCGUGGGGAGCAAACAGG